UAUGUACUCCCUCCGUCCGGAAAUACUUGUCAUCAAAAUGAAUAAAAGGGGAUGUAUCUAGAUGUAUAUUAGUUCUAGAUACAUCCCUUUUUAUCCAUUUUAAUGACAAGUAUUUUCGGACGGAGGGAGUACAAG
rnacentral:pre_miRNA from 1 species